rnacentral:tRNA from 1 species
GUUAUUUUGGCAGAUUAGUGCAAUAGAUUUAGAAUCUUUUUAAGGAAUAUAUUAUUUCAAAUAACA